UACCAAUAGGAAUUUGACAUGUGUCACCCAAUUGUGAUCCCAAAAAUUUUAUCUUGAUUUAUAAAGACUUUUCUCCUCCCAUUUUGGCCAUUUGGCCGAAAUAAUCACAAGGGAAAAGGGAAGAGAAAUUUCCAUCAUCUUCUUCAUCCAAGCUUCAACCACCAUAGCCAAUUCCUUCACACCUCUUCAAUUUAUUCGGGUUUCAAGAAGAAUUUGGGGGAAAUCACUCAAAGACUCUUUCUAAGGAUUUUAGUAGCUAAUUGAGAUGUCAUCCAGUGA